rnacentral:rRNA from 1 species
GAUGAACGCUGGCGGCGUGCCUAAUACAUGCAAGUCGAGCGCAGCGGGGACGGGUGAGUAACACGUGGAUAACCUCCUAUAAGACUGGGAUAACUUCGGGAAACCGGAGCCAAACCGGCUACUUAUCUCUGGAUCCACGCUGCAUUAGCUAGUUUGUAAGGGAACGGCUUACCAAGGCAACGAGGAAUAGCCGACCGGAGAGGGUGAGCGGCCACACUGGAACAGAGACACGGUCCAGACUCCUACGGGAGGCAGCAGUAGGGAAUCUUCCGCAAUGGGCGAAAGCCUGACGGAGCAACGCCGCGUGAGUGAUGAAGGUCUUCGGAUCGUAAAACUCUGUUAUUAGGGAAGCGGUACCUAAUCAGAAAGCCACGGCUAACUACGUGCCAGCAGCCGCGGUAAUAC